UCCAGGGCAGGAUGUUAGCCCCAAACUGAUAUAACUGGAAGGACUGCAGGGCUGAGAGCAUGCACUCAUCUAGUGACUCAUGGCAAGACUCUGAAAAGAGGAUGAAACAGUCCCCAGCUGCAUAAGAAGGAACUGCAGAUACACCACAACCUCCACUUCGACAGAGAGAGAUGGGAACUACCCCAUACACAUAGGCCAACAUGAUAGGCACACCUAUUCCUGCAGAGAAAAUAAAGGAUACUAGAAUCACUGCAAUCUGAGCAUUGACCUUUGGUAUCAUGUUGCCCCAUUUUCCUUGCUGAGAGUCAUGAAGCCACAGUGGUUAGAAUGCUGAACUAGGACCUGACAGAUACAUGUUGUAGUCCCCACUCAGCCAUGAAGCUCACUGCUUGACUGUAUCUCAACCUAACCCACCUCACAGAGGGAGGAUGAAAUGGAAAGGAGGAAGGCCAUCCAACCCACCUUGUCUUCCUUGGAGGAAGCAAGGCAAGAUUUGUUCUUCUUCUUCUGCUCCCCAGGGAGAGUCAGAAGAGCUAUUCAGGACUGGACAUCUUAUUCAAUCAUUAAUCUGGCUUUCGAAAAUUCACAGCAAGCUGCCUACAGACUUUGAAGCACAUCUUCACAAUGCUUUUGAAAAAGAAAGAUAAUGAGAUCCUUACGAAGCUGCAUUCUCUGGUUGGUACCAUGCUCUGAGAUUUUUCUGCACUUUUGUAGAACUGCAGCAUAUGCAACCCUCUGCAGCAACCACAAAGGCAUGUUCUUCUAAUGGGGAAAGCAAUCAUCAUACCUACCUGCCUCUCCUUUGCAGAGUGGAGCAUCAUACCAUGCUUGCAUUAGAGAACAAUGCAACUAUAUUCAUAUAUGCAAUUAUAUUCAUUCUCAAUAUACAGAAAUUAACCUUACCCUAUGUAUCCUCUCCUGCUAAUUAUACUAACUCAGUAUCCUCUCAGUAGGAAAGUCAACAAUAAAUUAUUAGGGAAAUAAGCCACACAAGUAGAAAGGGGAUAUAAUUAUUGUUUCCUACUAGAAUGAGACUGCAAGAUGCUAAACUUGUUUAAAAAAGAAGCGUUUGCACCUUCACAACUCCACAUUAGAUUUUAUAGA